ACUUAAAUUGAAGAGUUUGAUCAUGGCUCAGAUUGAACGCUGGCGGCAGGCCUAACACAUGCAAGUCGAGCGGUAGCACAGAGAGCUUGCUCUCGGGUGACGAGCGGCGGACGGGUGAGUAAUGUCUGGGAAACUGCCUGAUGGAGGGGGAUAACUACUGGAAACGGUAGCUAAUACCGCAUAACGUCGCAAGACCAAAGAGGGGGACCUUCGGGCCUCUUGCCAUCAGAUGUGCCCAGAUGGGAUUAGCUAGUAGGUGGGGUAACGGCUCACCUAGGCGACGAUCCCUAGCUGGUCUGAGAGGAUGACCAGCCACACUGGAACUGAGACACGGUCCAGACUCCUACGGGAGGCAGCAGUGGGGAAUAUUGCACAAUGGGCGCAAGCCUGAUGCAGCCAUGCCGCGUGUAUGAAGAAGGCCUUCGGGUUGUAAAGUACUUUCAGCGGGGAGGAAGGCGAUAAGGUUAAUAACCUUGUCGAUUGACGUUACCCGCAGAAGAAGCACCGGCUAACUCCGUGCCAGCAGCCGCGGUAAUACGGAGGGUGCAAGCGUUAAUCGGAAUUACUGGGCGUAAAGCGCACGCAGGCGGUCUGUCAAGUCGGAUGUGAAAUCCCCGGGCUCAACCUGGGAACUGCAUUCGAAACUGGCAGGCUAGAGUCUUGUAGAGGGGGGUAGAAUUCCAGGUGUAGCGGUGAAAUGCGUAGAGAUCUGGAGGAAUACCGGUGGCGAAGGCGGCCCCCUGGACAAAGACUGACGCUCAGGUGCGAAAGCGUGGGGAGCAAACAGGAUUAGAUACCCUGGUAGUCCACGCCGUAAACGAUGUCGACUUGGAGGUUGUGCCCUUGAGGCGUGGCUUCCGGAGCUAACGCGUUAAGUCGACCGCCUGGGGAGUACGGCCGCAAGGUUAAAACUCAAAUGAAUUGACGGGGGCCCGCACAAGCGGUGGAGCAUGUGGUUUAAUUCGAUGCAACGCGAAGAACCUUACCUACUCUUGACAUCCAGAGAACUUUCCAGAGAUGGAUUGGUGCCUUCGGGAACUCUGAGACAGGUGCUGCAUGGCUGUCGUCAGCUCGUGUUGUGAAAUGUUGGGUUAAGUCCCGCAACGAGCGCAACCCUUAUCCUUUGUUGCCAGCGGU
rnacentral:rRNA from 1 species